GCCAGUGUGGAAUAGCGGUUUGAGUGUUAAACUACAAUUCUGGAGACCAGGGUUCGAAUCCCCACUCAGCCA
rnacentral:tRNA from 1 species